rnacentral:rRNA from 1 species
GUGUCAGCAGCCGCGGUAAGACAGAGGGUGCAAACGUUGUUCGGAAUUACUGGGCAUAAAGCGCACGUAGGUGGUCCGCUAAGUCGCGUGUGAAAUCCCCCGGCUCAACCGGGGAACUGCGCGUGAUACUGGCGGGCUCGAGAUCGGGAGGGGUGAGUGGAACUCCAGGUGGAGCGGUGAAAUGCGUAGAUAUCUGGAGGAACACCGGUGGCGAAAGCGGCUCACUGGCCCGAUACUGACACUCAGGUGCGAAAGCUAGGGUAGCAAACGGGAUUAGAUACCCGAGUAGUCC